ACACAUGCAAGUCGAGCGAGAAAGCUACCUUCGGGUAGUAAGUAAAGCGGCGGACGGGUGAGUAACGCGUGAAUAAUCUGUCCCUAAGUUUAGGAUAACCUGAUGAAAGUUGGGCUAAUCCUGAAUGAACUACGAGAGUGGCGACACUCAGAUAGCAAAGGUGGUUUACCAUCGUUUAGGGAGGAGUUCGCGUCGGAUUAGCUAGCUGGUAAGGUAACGGCUUACCAGGGCGACGAUCCGUAGCUGGUCUGAGAGGACGAUCAGCCACACUGGGACUGAGACACGGCCCAGACUCCUACGGGAGGCAGCAGUGGGGAAUCUUUCGCAAUGGACGCAAGUCUGACGAAGCAACGCCGCGUGAGUGAGGAAGGCCCUUUGGGUUGUAAAGCUCUGUUGCCGGGGAAGAAAGUUAGUGUAAGGAAAUGUGCAUUAAUUGACGGUACCCGGUGAGGAAGCACUGGCUAACUACGUGCCAGCAGCCGCGGUAAUACGUAGAGUGCAAGCGUUGUCCGGAAUCAUUGGGCGUAAAGGGUACGCAGGCGGAUAUACAAGUCAAAUGUGAAAGGUGUAGGCUUAACCUACAGACUGCGUUUGAAACUGUAUAUCUUGAGAGCAGCAGAGGAAGGCGGAAUUCCUGGUGUAGUGGUGAAAUACGUAGAUAUCAGGAAGAACACCAGUGGCGAAGGCGGUCUUCUGGGCUGCAUCUGACGCUCAUGUACGAAAGCUGGGGUAGCGAACGGGAUUAAAUACCCC
rnacentral:rRNA from 1 species